rnacentral:rRNA from 1 species
AAUGAACGUUGGCGGCGUGGAUUAGGCAUGCAAGUCGCGCGAUUUCCUUCGGGGAAGAGCGGCGGAAGGGAGAGUAACGCGUAGAUACCUACCCUCGGGACUGGAAUAGCGACGGGAAACUGUCGGUAAUGCCAGAUAACGUCCCUGGACCAAAGGUGUGAAUCCGCCUGAGGAGGGGUCUGCGUCCUAUUAGCUAGUUGGCGGGGUAACGGCCCACCAAGGCGAAGAUGGGUACCGGGCGGGAGAGCGUGACCCGGCUCACUGGGACUGAGACACUGCCCAGACACCUACGGGUGGCUGCAGUCGAGAAUCUUCGGCAAUGAGCGCAAGCUUGACCGAGCGACGCCGCGUGCGGGAUGAAGGCUUUCGGGUUGUAAACCGCUGUCAGUGGGGAGGAAAUUCUUGGGGGUACUCCCCCUUGAUUGACCGAUCCGCAGAGGAAGGACGGGCUAAGUUCGUGCCAGCCGCCGCCGUAACAC